rnacentral:tRNA from 1 species
CGGAGCAUAGCGCAGCUUGGUAGCGCGCUUGGCUUGGGACCAAGAGGUCGGGGGUUCGAAUCCCUCUGCUCCGACCA